rnacentral:lncRNA from 1 species
CCGCAUUUUCCGCCGUUGGAGGACUUCCGGACCUCCGAUUCAACUUCCGUAAAAAGCUAUACGCUCAGAAAUUCACAAUACACUCAAACACAAAUUCAAUUUCAGCUUUAAUACAACUUAUUCAACAUAAUUUCUCAGCAUUCUAAAUCCCAAUUAGGGUCAAUCGACGGCUUAUCACUACCCAUUACAUGUUAAUCGAUAAUACCCAUUAAACGACGAUAAACCCCCCUUACCUGAGAUAAUCCGGCAAUUCUUUGAGCUUCAAGCUUUUCCG